rnacentral:ribozyme from 1 species
AUUAGUUUGCUAUGCAAUGGGGUAGAAUCACACAAACCUCUUGGAGAGGUGGCUCUUCUACUCAACUCCCAGUCCUACACGUCCUCGUCGUGCAGAGCGGUAACAUACAUCAUCACCCGUAAUCCAUUCUUAUCAUAAUACGGACUGGUAGUCUCUUUGACGGAUGGUGGUGUAUGGCAAAGAACGAAGAA